CUCUAGCCCCUCACUUCACAUCUGUCUAUUAACCCCAAUCAAAGAAUGUAAUGUAUGUAUGAUUUUACUGUUGUAGCCAAUAUGAUCAUUGUAAUUAUAGUCUGUAACAUUUCACCUAAUUGUUAUCAAUAAGAAUGAAGUUUAAGCCAUUUUAACAUUUCACCUGAUUGUAUAAACGAGUACGAAUGUUUGCUGUUCUAACUUGUCAGAAUUGGAUUUAUAUACGACCUGAAGUACACACACAUAUAUUUGACCCCUCAAAACAAACACCGCCAAAUGCUUAAAGCAAUUAUUCUGUAAUAAUAUUGUUAUGAUGUAUAUUCUUUGCACUUUGCGAGUAUGUCUUCACUUCUGUUAUACGAACUUUGCACCCAGCUGAUUCCAGACGCCAUAUUUGUUUACAAAUGUGGCAGUAUACAUGUGAUGUGUUACGACAGCAAAAGGAACCUGUGAUCACUGAAGGCCCUAUGGUGAGGACCAAGCAACUCUGCCAACAUGAUUUGCUUUCUCUCCUUUUUUUUAAUUGGUAUCUGCCCCUGAGCCACGAGUUUCUGAAUUGAAAGUCCAAAGAAGAGAAGACAAAGAGAAGUAGCUUUUUUGUCUGUUUCAUGGCUUAUACGCCUACUGGGGAAACUCGCCAUGUAAAAAAACGAGUAACACAUCAAGCUUGGUACCUCUAUGGUGAUGUGGAAAUCCGAGCGUUGUUAACAAAGAAAUUAAUUCAUUAUGUGUCUGUUUCAUUUGAUUAUCAUGUUGCUUAUAGUACACCAAAUUUAAUUAAAAUACCCAGGUGAUAAUUUCAACAUAAAUUGGACUAUGUGCAUAGCUGCUUCUCACAGGCAAAGUAUGAAUAUUUACCAUCCUCUGGCAUGUGUGUUCACUAGUCAGUUAUGGCAAAAGAAAUCACUGACUCAAAGCAUAAUUUGCUUGCCUUUUUAGUUAUAAUUUUACGUUUUUAGAUUAUAGUGCUCCCUGAGAGAUUAUCUUCUGCAUUUCUUGGCCCUGACAUGAUAUAUAAUGGAUGUUUCACC